UCUCGCGAGAACUCCAGGAACUCGCGCAUGCUCCCCGAGUCCAACAGUAGCCAUUUCCGCCCGGGGGUGGGGGCGUGGCUUGCGGCCGCCGCCAGGAGACGCACCAGACAUGCUGACGGCGGUGGGACCCCGACCUCUGCGCCUGCGCCCUGACGUCCUUCUCUCUGGGUGGGGGCGUGCGGCCUUGGGUGUCCCGACGCUCCGGGCGCGGGCUGUGUUUUCUGUGGAAAGUUGCACUGCGGAUGCCGAUAAUAAAUGCAUUUAUUUAUUAACAUUUGUGAAAAUGCAUGUCCUUUAGUGUCCCCUGGAAAUCAGUGUGCAGAAAAGACUAUUCAGAGUUUUAUUUAGUUUUAAAAGUUUAAUAACUGCUUGAUUUUUUAAAGUUAUCCUCAUUAUUUUUCUGAAUGCUUAUUAGCGUUUACUGACGCCUACUGUGUACCACGCAGUAGGUUCUGGUGACAAAUCGGGAACAAAGUGCCGAAGGCCCGGCCUGCCCGGAGCUUACAGCAUCAGGACACAAGAUUACCUAACACUGAUAAGAGAGUGCAGGAAAGCCAGAAGUUAAUGCGAGUCGCGGCCAAGAGGAUAGGGGAAUGGGGAGUGUGGAGGUGGGGCGGCGCACGUUGCGAGGGCGGGGUCCCAAGGUGCAGGUGCACGUGCCGGGUGUGAGGGGCCAGGUGUGUAGGCUUGAGGGGAAGAGGGCGGAGCCACAGCAAGAGCAGAAGCAGAGGAGGGCGGAGGUUGCAGGAGCAGAGCCGGGGAGAAAUGGGGUGGCCAGCGAGUGGAGGGGGUGAAUUAGGAGGAGCCAGCUAAGAACGCGGCUUUACUGUCCCUGAGACCCUGCAGAGGGUGAGUGGAAGAGUGAAGCCAUCUGAGUUACCUAGAGGAAAAAAAAAGUAUAUAUAUAUAUAUAAAAUUGAGAUGUAAUUCACAUUCUCUACAACUCACCCUUUUAAAGUGUACAACUCAGUGUUUUUAGUAUAUUCAUAAGGUUGUGCAAUCCCCACCAUUUGCUAGUUUUAGUUUCGUCUCGCCCAUGUAGAAACCUGGUACUCAUUAUUAAUCACUUGCUUUCCCUCGCUCUUUCUCCAGCCCCUGGCAACCACUAAUUUACUUCUGUCUCUCUGGAUUUGACAGUUCUGGACAUUUCAUGUAAGUGGAACCAUACACUUUUGUGUGGCCUUUUGUGCCUGGCUUCUUUAACUGAGCGUAACAUCUUCAAGGUUCGUCCUUGUAGCCUGUGACAGUGCUUCUUUCCUUUUUAUGGGUCAGUAGUAUUCCAUUGUACGGAUGGACCACAUUUGUGUAUGCCGUCAUCAGUGGAUGGAUCUUUCAGUUUUCUCUGCUUUUUGGCCAUUAUGAAUAUAAUAAAUCCCCUACGUAGGAACCUUCAAGUUGCGAACUUUCAAAGAUGCGAACGUGGAACUUCCUAAUGAAGACCUGAUGGAAUUGGAGGCCCAGAGAAAGGACAAAGAGAGACAAGAGGAAGAACAAGUAACUGGACAACCAAAGAGGUUCAUGAUGCAGGAAAUGGCUAGGGGAUUUUCUUUUUUUUUUUCUUUUGCGGUAUGCGGGCCUCUCACUGUUGUGGCCUCUCCCGUUGCAGAGCACAGGCUCCGGACCCGCAGGCUCAGCGGCCAUGGCUCACGGGCCCAGCCGCUCCGCCCUAUGUGGGAUCUUCCCGGACCGGGGCAUGAACCCGUGUCCCCUGCAUCGGCAGGCGGACUCUCAACCACUGCGCCACCAGGGAAGCCCAAGGGGAUUUUCUUUAUUUGAGAAGGCACUGUUAGUUUUUGAGGCACAGGACCUGAACGUACAUGAAGUACAUGAAGGUUGCAGCAGCCAUUCAGAAUGCAAUCCAGUGCUACCAUGUCGUCUAUGAUGGGCAAAAAAGAGCUACUACCCAGACAUCACUGGAUCAUUUUUUCAAGAGGGUAGAUAGAAUUGAAUCCAGCAAAGAACUAGAACCUGUGCCAUCAGCAUCAGGGAUGAGUGAAAUUGCAGCUUGCCCUCCGUCUCCUACUGCUGAAGAUCCUUCAGCUCUACCAUCUCCAACUUCCUCUCUUCCAGUCAGUAACUCUUCCUGCCUGUUCACUCGAUGCCAGCCCCUGGAUGCCAGCUGUUGUACUACUGUACUUUUCAAGGUACUGUACUGUAAGAUUUAAAAUGUUUUCUUUGUUUUUUAUGUAUUAUUUGUGUGAAAAGUAUUAUAAACCUAUUACAGUACAGUAGCAUAUAGCCGAUUGUGUUAGUUGGGUACCUAGGCUGACUUUGUUGGACUUACAAACAAAUUGGACUUACGAACACGCUCUCGGAACAGAACUGGUUUGCAUGUAGGGGACUUACUGUAAGGCUACCGUGAGCUCUGAGUUACAUUUUUUUUUUUUUUUUGCGGUACGCAGACCUCUCACUGGUGUGGCCUCUCCCGUUGUGGAGCACAGCCUCCGGACGCGCAGACUCAGCGGCCAUGGCUCACGGGCCCAGCCGCUCCGCGGCAUGUGGGACCCUCCCGGGCGCGAACCCGUGUCCCCUGCAUCGGCAGGCGGACUCUCAACCACUGCGCCACCAGGGAAGCCCUCUGAGUUACAUUUUUAUAGAAUCACUGGGUAGAACCCAGGAGACUCCACAGUAAUCCAGAUGAGAGGCGCAGCCUUCUUUUGAUUUGGGGCUGUGUGUAAACGAGAGGCACUGAGGAUGCUUGUAAGAUCUGAAAGUUGGAGUGUCCAUUGGCUGACCUGGGGAGGGUGUGGGUGGGGUUGAGGCAGGAGAUAGACGGGCCCCAGUUUAGACAUUUACAACUAACCUCCUGUUUAUGCUUUAAAAAUAAAGAUAAUAACAGGAACAGGAUAAGCAGCUGGACUUUGUCUCCUGUGGACGCUUCAAGGGAACGGAACGGCAGAAACAGAGAGGGGCUGAGCCCUGCUGGCAUAAAAGACAAAGAGACCACAUAGUUCUCAUUCUCGGGGCCAAGGAGACUCCCUCCCAGACUAUGCAUGUGCAGAAAGGUUAAAGGGAGGGGGCGCCAGACCAUAAUAUGUUCUGUUAACCUCUCAGAGACCCUUGCGCUGGAAUCCAUCUUGGCUAAAAGAUGCAUGUGCACACAGGGGAGGGCCCUGAGUCAGACCAGAUAUGGACUCAGAGCCAGACAAAGCAAGCUGAUUGGCCAGAGGAAACCUAGAAGAACUUCCCCCAUAUGGUUUAAACCACCCCCAAAAGCACACGCCUCUCUCUCUGUCUCUCAGCCUGCCUGUGCUUUCUAUUCUUCUCUCCUAAUAAACACUUUACUUGACUCAAUACUUUUCAUCUCUUUGCUGAUUCUUUCUUCAAAGCAGAUGAGAGCCAGGGCCCUGCUCCUAGCCAAUAGUCCCUGGUGGUCUAGUGGUUAGAAUUCGGUGCUUUCACUGCUGUGGUCCGGGUUCAAUUCCCAGGGAACUGAGAUCCCACUUCAAGCUGCCGCUCACUGUGGUCACUCACAGCCACCUGAGAUCAGGUUUUCAGGCCUGUAGACUCAGACUGAAUCACACACCAGCUUUCCUGGUUCCCAGCUUGCAGAUGGCAGACUAUGGGACUUCUUGGCUUCCGUCACUAUCACCCACAGAAUGAGGUCACCAAUGGAGGGAGAGGAGAAUGAAAAGAGAACCAAGGUCCGAGGCCAGAGGGCGGCUACUUUUGUUGAGGUGGGCACAUAGGCUAUUUAUUUCUAAGGGAUGCCUCAGAGAGAGGCUGUAGUGCUGCAACUGUCCACUUUCAGGGGGUGCCUGUGUAUCAUGUAGAACCCCCCAUAAGCCAGGCCUGAGUGUUCUCUUCCUCUAUCAAGUGAUCAUAGGAAACUCCCCGUGAAGCCACAGGUGAACAUGAGUGUACAACUGUCUGUUUGAGUCCCUGCUUUAAAUUCUUUUGUUUAUAUAUCCGGAAGUGGAAUUGCUGGAUCAUACGGGCAUUCUAUGUUUAAUGUUUUUGAAAAACCGUCAAAAUGUUUCCCGUAGCAGCUGCACCAUUUUACAUUCCUAACAGCAAUGCACAAGGGUUCCAAUUUCUCCGUAGCCUCAUCAACUCUUAUUAUUUUGUGU